rnacentral:rRNA from 1 species
CCUACGGGAGGCUGCAGUGGGGAAUAUUGCGCAAUGGGCGAAAGCCUGACGCAGCGACGCCGCGUGAGGGAUGAAGGUCUUCGGAUCGUAAACCUCUGUCAGCAGGGAAGAACGGUCACUGUGCUAAUCAGCAGUGAAUUGACGGUACCUGCAAAGGAAGCACCGGCUAACUCCGUGCCAGCAGCCGCGGUAAUACGGAGGGUGCGUGCGUGGAUCGGAAUGACUGGGCGUAAAGCGCUCGUAGGUGGUAUGUCAAGUCAAGGGUGAAAUCCCCGCGCUCAACGUGGGAACUGCAUUUGAAACUGGCAAACUGGAGUGUGUGUGAGGAUAGUGGAAUUCCAGGUGUAGGAGUGAAAUCCGUAGAUAUCUGGAGGAACAUCAGUGGCGAAGGCGACUAUCUGGCACAUAACUGACGCUGAGGCUCGAAAGCGUGGGGAGCAAACAGGAUUAGAUACCCGGGUAGUC